GCCUUGGUAGCUCAGCUGGAUAGAGCAACGGUUUUCUAAACCGUGGGUCAGGGGUUCGAGUCCCUUCCAGGGUAC
rnacentral:tRNA from 1 species